rnacentral:rRNA from 1 species
AGUGAACGCUGGCGGUAGGCCUAACACAUGCAAGUCGAACGGCAGCACAGUAAGAGCUUGCUCUUACGGGUGGCGAGUGGCGGACGGGUGAGGAAUACAUCGGAAUCUACUUUUUCGUGGGGGAUAACGUAGGGAAACUUACGCUAAUACCGCAUACGACCUACGGGUGAAAGCAGGGGAUCUUCGGACCUUGCGCGAUUGAAUGAGCCGAUGUCGGAUUAGCUAGUUGGCGGGGUAAAGGCCCACCAAGGCGACGAUCCGUAGCUGGUCUGAGAGGAUGAUCAGCCACACUGGAACUGAGACACGGUCCAGACUCCGAAGGGAGGCAGCAGUGGGGAAUAUUGGACAAUGGGCGGAAGCCUGAUCCAGCCAUACCGCGUGGGUGAAGAAGGCCUUCGGGUUGUAAAGCCCUUUUGUUGGGAAAGAAAAGCAGCAGGUUAAUACCCAGCUGUUCUGACGGUACCCAAAGAAUAAGCACCGGCUAACUUCGUG